AGGGUGCAAGCGUUAUCCGGAUUCACUGGGUUUAAAGGGUGCGUAGGUGGUCCUGUAAGUCAGUGGUGAAAUCUCCGGGCUUAACCCGGAAACUGCCAUUGAUACUAUAGGUCUUGAAUUUUCUGGAGGUCAGCGGAAUAUGUCAUGUAGCGGUGAAAUGCUUAGAUAUGACAUAGAACACCAAUUGCGAAGGCAGCUGGCUACAGGAACAUUGACACUGAGGCACGAAAGUGUGGGGAUCAAACAGG
rnacentral:rRNA from 1 species